AUUGAACGCUGGCGGCAGGCCUAACACAUGCAAGUCGAGCGGAUGAAGGGAGCUUGCUCCUGGAUUCAGCGGCGGACGGGUGAGUAAUGCCUAGGAAUCUGCCUGGUAGUGGGGGAUAACGUCCGGAAACGGGCGCUAAUACCGCAUACGUCCUGAGGGAGAAAGUGGGGGAUCUUCGUACCUCACGCUAUCAGAUGAGCCUAGGUCGGAUUAGCUAGUUGGUGGGGUAAAGGCCUACCAAGGCGACGAUCCGUAACUGGUCUGAGAGGAUGAUCAGUCACACUGGAACUGAGACACGGUCCAGACUCCUACGGGAGGCAGCAGUGGGGAAUAUUGGACAAUGGGCGAAAGCCUGAUCCAGCCAUGCCGCGUGUGUGAAGAAGGUCUUCGGAUUGUAAAGCACUUUAAGUUGGGAGGAAGGGAAGUAAGUUAAUACCUUGCUGUUUUGACGUUACCAACAGAAUAAGCACCGGCUAACUUCGUG
rnacentral:rRNA from 1 species